CUCCUCACAGGAUCGCACCUGGAGAGUUUUCAGUACUCCACCAGUCUCAGCUAUGGGAGGGAGAGUCAAGCAGAGGCAUAUUCAUUUCAUUCCUAGCUUGGGCAGUGGCUAACUAAUGGAAGGCAUUCUGCUACAAGU